CGCCGCGUGGGGGAUGAAGCAUUUCGGUGUGUAAACCCCUUUCGACCGGGAAGAAUACCUAGCAAUAGGGGUGACGGUACCGGUAGAAGAAGCCCCGGCUAACUACGUGC
rnacentral:rRNA from 1 species